rnacentral:tRNA from 1 species
UGCCUCAUAGCUCAAUGGCAGAGCGACGCGCUGUUAACGCGGGGGUUGUAGGUUCAAGUCCUACUGGGGCAG